UAGAGAACAACUGGCACUGAACGUGACUAUACGAGAGAUCACUUGGAUUUCUAUUCAAUCGUUAGUGAUUGUCUUGAUGCUGUGGUUGUGUGACUGAUCCUUUGACUUGAGAUGGUACUGCUACUCACAGUGAGGCUGCUGGAGUUUGAUUGACAAAUAAUAUAGGUCUCAAUGAGCCCUUAUAGUGGAUGUUGGUGAUAGUUGGUCUACUGUAGGAGUGGGGUGCGAGUC
rnacentral:lncRNA from 1 species